UGGCAUUCAUGAAUAUGGCAUGUAUUUUGAAUGAUUCUGAAUGGCUGAUUCUACGCUUACGGGAAUACUUUGAUUAGUUGGUGGAAGUAAUUACAUGUGAAUGAGCACAUAUUUGUGAAAGAACAAAUAGGUUU